rnacentral:rRNA from 1 species
UGUAAGCGUAUACCAAAGUUGGUGCAGUUAAAACGCUCGUAGUCGGAAUUUGGCAGUUCCGGAAGUGUGCACGUCGUGUGCGCACUUUGCGGGGACUGCUUUUGUGGUCUUGCGUAGGAUGAGGCACUUUCAUUAGUGAACGUCCUCACGCAACCACUCUUUACUGUGAGAAAAUCAGAGUGCUCAAAGCAGGCAUUUGCCGUGAAUGUAUUAGCAUGGAAUAAUAGAAUAGGACUCGGUUCUAUUUUGUUGGUUUGUUGGGACUGAGUAAUGAUUAAGAGGGACAGUUGGGGGCAUUUGUAUUCCGGCGCUAGAGGUGAAAUUCUUAGAUUGCCGGAAGACAAACUGCUGCGAAAGCGUCUGCCAAGGAUGUUUUCAUUGA